UGGCUGAGUGGUAAAGCGCUUGGCCUUUAAACCAAAACGACGCGGGUUUGAAUCCCGGU
rnacentral:tRNA from 1 species